rnacentral:rRNA from 1 species
GCCGACGCAUUUCUUCCGCCCUUGGACGCCGCAGCCGGUUGGGAUCAAGUCGGGUUUCAUCGAGUGUUCGCCGGAUCGUUCGCGAUGAUGGCCCCCGCGAGGAUCGGCGGCUUGCGGCGAGUACGUCGGUAGCCCACCACACCCGUCUUGAAACACGGACCAAGGAGUCUAACAUGUGCGCGAGUCAUGGGGUCUUGAACAGGCCCAAAGGCGAAAUGAAAGUGAAGUCGCGAUGUCGCGUCCGCAGCGACGACCCGGUCGGUGUCUGAGCGCACACGUUGGUACCCGAAAGAUGGUGAACUAUGCCCGACCAGGGCGAAGUCAGAGGAAACUCUGAUGGAGGCUCGUAGCGCUUCUGACGUGCAAAUCGAUUGCGAGAGUCGGGUAUAGGGGCGAAAGACUAAUCGAACCAUCUAGUAGCUGGUUCCCUCCGAAGUUUCCCUCAGGAUAGCUGGCGCUCGGGAUUCACACAUAGUAAAGCGAA